rnacentral:rRNA from 1 species
UACGGGGGGGGUAAGCGUUGUUCGGAAUUACUGAGCGUAAAGGGCUCGUAGGCGGCCAACUAAGUCGGAUGUGAAAUCCCCAGGCUUAACCUGGGAACUGCAUCCGAUACUGGAUGGCUUGAAUCCGGGAGAGGGAUGCAGAAUUCCAGGUGUAGCGGUGAAAUGCGUAGAUAUCUGGAGGAAUACCGGUGGCGAAGGCGGCAUCCUGGACCGGCAUUGACGCUGAGGAGCGAAAAGCUAGGGGAGCAAACGGGG